GACUCGAAAAAACGUUAGGGUUUUAGGGUGGUCGAAAUUCAGCAAACUCCGAGCUCCAACUCUACGGAGCCCUUCGCUCUCUCAAGUAACAAAACAAACACCAAGUAACUUGUAGCAAUUACUCUUUAUAUUUUUUCAGCUUCAAAUUUUUGUUCUUUAUUUGCAAAACCCAUUUCUCUUAACUCUAUAAUAAUUAUUGAUCUCCCAUUUCCUUAGUUUCGUUAGUUUUUUGUCUGCAAACUGUUUGUUCUAGUGCUUGAGAGAAGCUAAAGCCUUUUCUUCCCUUUUUUUUCCACCUUUUGGGUUUAACUUGAAAGUAGAAUUUGAGAAAGCAUAGAAUACAAUGGAUGGAAGAUUAGCGAAUACAUGGAGAUUAACAUUGAACGAGAAGAAAUUCAUAGAGACUGCCUUGGCUUCAAACCUUAGAAUUGAUGGUCGUAAUCCUCUUGAGUAUCGCAAAAUUACCAUCAAGUUUGGAAGAGAAGAUGGAUCAUCAGAGGUGCAGCUAGGACAGACUCAUGUAAUGGGUUUUGUGACAGGUCAAUUAGUUCAGCCUUAUCAAGACCGACAGAAUGAAGGGACACUUUCUAUUUUUACCGAGUUCUCUCCGAUGGCUGAUCCUUCAUUCGAACCAGGCCGCCCUGGGGAAUCUGCAGUGGAGUUGGGCCGUAUAGUUGAUCGUGGUCUAAGGGAGAGCAGGGCUGUGGAUACAGAAUCGCUUUGUGUUCUUGCCGGGAAGUUAGUGUGGGCCAUUCGUAUUGACCUUCAUAUCUUAGACAAUGGGGGAAAUCUUGUUGAUGCUGCCAAUAUUGCUGCCUUAGCCUCUCUCUUAACGUUUAGAAGACCAGAAUGCACUUUAGGAGGUGAAGAUGGUCAAGAAGUGAUAGUACAUCCACCAGAGGAAAGAGAGCCGCUUCCUUUGAUAGUCCACCAUCUCCCUAUAGCAAUAACUUUUGCAUUUUUCGGUGGUGAGGGCAAAAUGGUUGUUGAUCCUACCCAAAGUGAGGAGGCUGUUAUGGGUGGAAGAAUGACUGUAACGGUUAAUGCGAAUGGUGACAUUUGUGCAAUUCAGAAACCUGGAGGGGAGGGUGUGCCACAGAGUGCUAUUAUGCAUUGUUUGCAACUUGCUUCUUUGAGUGCUGAAUCCAUAACAAAGAAGAUAAAAAAUGCAGUUGAAGCAUACAACACAGAGAGAGCAUUACGCAAGAUCAAGCGCCACCCUACUUCUGGUGCUGGCAAUGUUAGUGUAGCUGCUCUUGAUGUAACAGAGCAAAAUAAAACCAUUGAGCAGGUGGAAGGUAGUGAGUUGUCAAGGCAUCAUAUGGAGAGAUUAAAGUUGGUACCUGAUGAAACCUGCAGUGGUAGAGGUAAUGACAAUGAUGGUGAUAUCAAACCAUCUAAACUAGGUGGAACAGGUCGAGGACAGGGCAAUGCUAUGAAUUUUCUUGGGGGUCCAUCAAGCUGGGAUCCUUAUUUGAAGGUCGUUGAUCCUGAUUCCCUGAAAGCCUCUCUAGCCUCACGUGGAGUAUCAACACGGCACGUGAAACAAAAAGGAAGCGAGGAAAAUAGUCCCAAAACUGAUCCAGAGAAACCAACCGAAGAUAUUAAACAAGCAACUUUAGCUACAGAUACAUCUGGAACUGCACUGCAAACAAAUGGAGAGAAAACAUUGAAGGAUGCUGUGAAGCCCAAGAACAAGAGGAGAAAGAGAGCUUCUCCCAGCAUGAAAGGAAGUUAGAUGAAAUUCUGAGCAGAAAAACAUCUACCUUGCAGCUCCAUGUCACCGCCCUGUAUAGCACUCAAAUAGAGAGAGGCCUGCCUUCUUUCUUUUCUUACACCAUCUCAAAUGAGUGGAAUAUCAGUGCUAUAUCGUGUAUCUUUGACACAUGCUUCCUUCAAGUCCCCCUUUAUUACAAUGAAGGGUAACUGGUGUUGGAAAAUUCAACUUCAUAUUCAACAGUGAAAGAAAAGAAUGAACCAGCAGUGGCCAGGAUAUACUGAAGUGGAGACCAGAAAGAGACUACUCUGAACUCUCUUAAUGAUUGUCUCUUGCUAAUGGAUUUACACGUGUUGGCUGCAUGGUUUGUCACCCACUUUGCUUGUGCUGCUUAAAGUUGCCCUUUAUCUGCCCCUCCUUUUGGAAGUUUAGAUAGGUUAAACUUUUUAGAGAUGCUAUUUUCAUGGCAGUGGUGCUUUGCUUUGACGCCAUAUGCUGUUUCUUACGAUGUUCGAGGAGAUAGUUAGUGAGAGGGAAUGAAUUCAAAUUGUAAUUCUCCUCUUCAGAGAAGUGUGUUUUUUUGAUCAGUCAAGUCUUUGCUGUCGAUUGGUUAGUAUCACUCUAUUAGGAGUUGGCAUUUUCUUUGUUUCAAGCAACACAAGAAUAGGAAACGAAGCAUCUAUUCAACCAUGCCUGGUGCAAAAUCUGAUAUCAGGAUUAUGCAAGUCUCACUGCUAUAUAUUUAUCAUUUCAUUUCA